rnacentral:rRNA from 1 species
GUAGGGAAUAUUGGGCAAUGGUCGGAAGACUGACCCAGCCAUGCCGCGUGCAGGAAGACGGCCCUCUGGGUUGUAAACUGCUUUUAUCUGGGAAGAAAAAGGCCAUGCGUGGAAAAUUGCCGGUACCAGAUGAAUAAGCACCGGAUAACUCCGUGCCAGCAGCCGCGGUAAUACGGAGGGUGCGAGCGUUGUCCGGAUUUAUUGGGUUUAAAGGGUGCGUAGGCGGCUGAUUAAGUCAGCGGUGAAAGACUUCGGCUUCACCGGAGCAGUGCCUUUGAUACUGGUUGGCUUGAGUGUCGGAGGGGUACAUGGAAGUGAUGGUGUAGCGGUGAAAUGCAUAGAUACCAUCAGGAACACCGAUAGCGAAGGCAUUGUACUGGCCGACAACUGACGCUGAUGCACGAAAGUGUGGGGAUCGAACAGGAUUAGAUACCCUGGUAGUCC